rnacentral:lncRNA from 1 species
GUGUCCAGUAGCCUCCCGACCCCAGCCUCUUCCCUCACAGCCUCCCAAGGCUUAUCUGAUCAGACAAUCCUCAUUUCUUAGAGAUUGUAUUUGAAGUCCUCAGCCCAGCCCACAAGGUCCACACUGAGUUUUGUUUUGUUUCAGUUUCUCAAAUGCAGUGUCUCCUUUCUGACUCAGAGCCUUUGUACAUGCUAUGUCCCUUUCUGAUGCCAGAACAUUCUUGUUCUCUCCUUUCCUCCGAUCCUACUUAGUUUUUACUCACCCUUCUGGUCUCCAAGCAAGUGUUACUUCCUCAGGGUUACCUUCCAUGUUCUCCCAGCUUGGGUCAGAGCCUCUGUGAAUGAUUUUUACAGCUCCUUAUAUAUUUCUGCUUAGAACUGAUUACAACUGUUGUUAAACAACCAAACUGUUUCAUCUGUUGUAGCAAUCCCUCCCCUCCACCUUCCUCCUCAGCCAGGCAUAAGCUCACGGAGGGCAGAGACUACGUCUGCCUUGGUCCCUGCUAUAUCUUUGUUUUGUUUGUUUGGCCUAAGGAAUAAAGAUGUUUAUAUGUGCCGAGUGCAGUGGCUCAUACCUAUAAUCCCAACACUUUGGGAGGCCAGGGCAGCUGGAUCACCUGAGGUCAGGAGUUGGAGACCAGCCUGGCCAACAUAUUAAAAUACAAAAAUUAGCCAGGUGUGGUGGCAGAAGGCUGUACUCCCAGUUACUGGGAGGUUGAGAUAUGAGAAUCACUUGAAUCCAGGAGGUGGAGGUUGCAGUGAGCUGGGAUUAUGCUACUGCACUCCGGCCUGGGUGACAGAGUGAGAUUCUGUCUCAAAAAAAAAGAUGUUUAUAUGUAACCUUCCAAAGUGCUUCACAUCAGCAAGCAGCAGCACUCAAUGUGGUUAUUUAGCAGCAUAGGUCCUUCCAUGCUUGUCAUCCCUAGGACUUGAGGCCGGAUCAGUGCCACAUCUGGGUUGAAGCCAGCAGGAAAGGGAAUUGGUUUUCUGGGUCUUGGCUUCCUUCCGGUGGUCUAUUAUAGAAGAACAAACCACCCCAAAUUUAGUGCUGUAAAACAUCAACCAUUUCAUUAUCUUCACAGAUUCUGUGAGUCUGCAAGGAAUUCUGGGGAAUUUGGACAGAACACAGUAGGGUGGCUUGUCUCUGCCCUGCAAUGUCUGGGCCUCAGUUGGGAAGACCCAAAUGGUUGAGGUCUGAACCGUCUGGAGGCAUCUUUGCUUACCUGGCACGUGGCUGGAAGACUGUACCAGAGCACCAACAUGUGGCCUCUCCAACGUGGUGGCCUCAAAGGAGUUGGGUUUCUUUUAUGGUGGCUCAGGGCUCAAGAGUGAGUGUUCCCAGAGAACAAGGUGAAGCUACAUAACCUUCUGUGUCCUAAGCCUCAGAAGUCACUUUUCUUCCCAUGGUACUCUUUGAUAGAAGACUGCCCAGGUUCAAGUAGAGGUGUCCUAGACCCCCCACCUCUUGAUGGGAAGACAGUGGAAGAAUUUGUGGCCAUAUUUAUAAACCACUACAGCCCAAAGGGGCACAUGCCAAUUUUACUCACAUUCCACCUGUGAGAGUGUAGUUAUAUGGUGUCACCUAAAUGCAUAGGGCUGGAAAAUGCUGUCCCUACUUAGACAGCUUCAACUGCAUUACAAGGGAAGAAGAGGCUGGGCACAGUGGCUCAUGCCUAUAAUUCCAGCACUUUGGGAGGCCGAAGUGGAAGAAUUGUUUGAGACCAGGAGUUCGAGACCAGCCUGAGCAACAUAUCUUCAAAAAUUAGCCAGAUGCACUGGUGCACCUGUGGCCCCAGCGACUCAGGGGGCUGAGGUGGAAGUAUCACUUGAGCCCAGGUGGUUGAGAUUGUAGUGAGCUGUAGUGCCACUGCACUCCAGCCUGGGCAACAGAGCAAGUCCCUGCCUCAAAAAAAAAAAAAAAAAAAAAAAAAAA